ensembl:lncRNA
ACAUAGGUGUAUGUGAGUGUAUUGGAAUGGGUACAUGGAUGGGUGUGUAUGGAUAAAAAUGUACAAGUUGAGAGAAAUUAUUUAUUGGGGUUGUAUUGUUUGCUACCAGGGAUUCACUUAAUAGUGAAGCAACGACCGGUGUUACCUCCAGGAUUCAAGGGAAAUUACACUUUGGGGGAAGAAGUUGUGGGUCCUUUUCCCACAUGGAUUGGAUUUGUGCUCAGUGCUCAUUGAGCCUCUACUUUGCAUCGAAUUUUAGGUGUAUUGUAUUGUGGUAUGCUGCUAAGGUAUUCUUAGUUGAGUUUUGCAUGUUUUUUUUUUCCCCUAGGAAGACACUGCUGCUUUUUUUGUUAUUGCAUUGGAGCCAAAAACCUUGCAUUCCUCAGUGGAAAAAUGUCAACUAAUUAUUAUUAAAAAUAAUAACUAAGUUGUUAUUAAUGUAAUAAUAAAAUUCUAGGGAUUGUGACAUUUGAAAAGUCAUUAAUAUUUACUUUGGUGCACUUUAUGAAACAGUUAUGAAUUGAUGUUUUGAGCCACACAUUUUUUCAGAGUUAUUUUUACAUAGGGCUCAUUUAGUUUAAUCUAGUAUCUUAGAAAAAAAAAUGUUCUUCAUUCUAGGCAUAUAAUUUCUUUAAUCUUUCCUCUGCAUACCCAGUUUUAUUGGCUGAAACUAUUAAAGAUUAUUAAACAUCAGUAUUUUUGUUAUAGUAGGGGUCCAAAAAGCAGAACUGAGGCAUUGUAAAAUCAAAAGUUCUUAUCUUACAUUAAAUAGGCAUAGAGAUAGGGACUGGGUCUGUGAUUUAUUAGAAAUUUUAGAUGAGGAAAUUUUUUCUCCCAAUGUAAGUUGACAUUUUUUCUUUCACAUAUAACCUUAGAGAGUUGAGACUUACUGAGAGGUUAAGUGAUUUGCCAAGGCUUACCCAUCAGUAUAUGUCAGAAUUCAGGAUCUGGACUCAAGUCUUCUAGCUCCAAAGCCAGAUCUCUAGCCACUAUACUAUCUAUAAUAAAAUAGGAAAUAGUAAUAGAGGAGGAGAAAGUUGUCUUAGGUCAUAACAAUUAAUUUUAUUGACUAAAGAAUUAAUCUACUAAAGAAGUGUUCAUUCUAUUUGGGUACAGGGUAUGUUGCAUUUAGCAACCAAGAAGGAAUUUUUAAAAGUUGAGAGUUUUCUUGACUUUUUAUAGACCAGAACUUGUACAUAGGGAUGAGAUAUAGAAUUGAAGAAUUGGUCAUGCACUAAAAAUUAGAAAUAAACCUACAUACAAAAUUUAAGUGAAAUGUCAAGGCAUGAGAUGAUUUAUUGACUGAGAAAAUCAGCAGUUAGGCAACAUUUCCAAAGCUUUUUGUACACGCCCUCAUGUUCAAAGAUCCUGUUGGUUUAUGACUAUAAAUUCCUUCCAGUUCUGAGCACACAUGUGGGUUGGGGCAGUGAAUCAACUAUGUGAAUGCCAGUUUCUAGCAAAGCCAAGAUUUAGGGACAUAGGCAUUCUCUAAAUUGAAAAUCUCCCCCUUAGUAAGUGAGAACGGGAUGGAUUAAAAAACAACAACAACAACAACACAGAGUCAUAACCACUGAAGGAGGAUGGUACUUUAGUUUUUUUUUUUUUUUUUUUCCCCCAGUAGUAGUGAUGAAUCCACAUUCCCUUUCCUCUCCUUCCUCUCAAACUUGCUUAUUGAUUCUUUGAAAAAUUUAAGUGUCUUCAUCUUGACUAGCCUAGAAAAAAUAGGAAUUAUUGAUGGGCUCAAUUCCACUAUGAUCAGCAUGUGGGAAUUUUGACCUACUCCAUUUCUGAUCUAUACUGAUUUACUUCUCUUUAGGUAACCUGGUAAAACUUCUGCUGGUGGGACUUAAUCAUAUUCACGACAAAUUUUAUGUUAUAACCUAAAUCGGAAUUCCUGAACUCAAGGGAUCCUCUGCCUCAGCCUCUCUGGUUUUAGGGAUUACAGGUUCUUAUUGAUUCUUGCUGGUAAUUUAAAGCAUGUGUACAGAAUAUUCAGAUGGGAUGAGACAAGAGCAAUAAAAGAGCAAAUCUUUGUUGGAUUAUGAAACUUUUGGAUAAGGAAUUGAACUUUGGGUUUCUCUGUUGUAACCAAAUUAAAGUAGUAUCAUUAUCCUCAGUCCUAACCUCUAUAGCUCAAGAAUUUCAGUAAUUUCAGGAUCUUAAUCAUUUUAAUAGCUUAAAAGAAGAGUGUUUGCAGAAAUAGAAAUAGAUAAUUGAAUAAUUCAAAUCAGAAGAAUAUAAUGACAUUGCUUUCCAUUUUUUUGAUACUUUUUGCUUCCCUCUUUCUCAAUAUUGGUAUAACACAUAGCAACUAUCUGAAGAACUGUGGAUUUGGAGGGUUAAAAGAAAUAUGAAAAAUUCAGUGGAUCUAGUGUUAAGGUAUUCAUUUGCUAUUGUGGGGAAGGCUUUUAUACCUUUGUGUAGAUCCACAUGCCAUUUUCAUCUGAUAGUCACCUACAUCUUUAAUUUUAAAAAAAUGAUUUUGGGUGACUAAUUUCUAAUUUCUUAUUCACAAGUAAAAUUAUUAAUUGCUAGCAUUAGAAGUUUGACAGUAUUCACCAAGAAUAGGUUAAUAUUUACUAAACUGUUCCACAGAGCUAUUAUGAUGUCAUUAGGGGUCUCACAAAAAAAAUUUUUUUUUAUGUUAGUCAAUAUUUUUCCUUCUAAAAUAUGAGAUAAUGAGAUAUGUGCCAGUAGUUCUUGCGUGACUUUUUUUUUGGAAUUUCUGUAAAAUCUUUUUAUUCUGAAGUUGAUUGGUACCUUCAUUUCCAGUCCAACAUUUAUGAGUUUUGUUACUAUAUUUCAAGUCCAAAACUACUCUGUGGCCAAAUUAAUUUAGUGAAUAAAUUUGCUCAUGUAAAAUAUAAACACUAUAGUUUAUACUAGCCAUAGGUUGAAAUGUGUUGUUCACCUUUAACCAGUUUUUCACUAACUGGAUUUAAAAACAGGUAUUAAAGUAGUAUAAUAAAAGAGAGAAUAAUAAGUCCUCUAAGGCUAAUGAUCAGUAUAACCUGCAUUCUCCUACAUGAUUGUUUUUAUUGUAUGUGUAUUUUUGUUUUAAAAUUUCUAUCAGGUACUUGUAAUUUUAUCUUUUACUUUUAAAGAAGAGCUUUCUAGAUACUGUUAUACUACUUAUGAACAAUGUAGCAUUUGAUAGGAUUAUAUGUUGAAAUGCCAUGCAAUGCUAAAAGGAUUUCUGAAAGAUCAGCAGUGAUACCUUGUAGCAAUGCUAAUAACCCUGGAAAAUCACUUGAUCCUGUAUUUGAAUUCCUAGGAUAUGUUUAAAAAUCAUUAGAUCUUGUAUCUAGAGAUGGAAAGAGAUCUCAGAGGUCAGCUAUUCCAUCUCCCUCAUUUUAUAGAAGAGGAGAUUAUAGUGACAGCUAGAAUUUUUUACAUUAUUAAAUUUAAUUUUUAAUUUAUGAAAUAAAAUAAGCAUUUCCAGAAUUUGAUCUCAGGUCCUGUUCAAUGUUCUUUCCACUGAAGUACCUGUAAAUAGAUUUAACAUUUUCUCGUUUGUUUAAUUAGGGUUUGUACCUUCAGAUGCAGAAUUUUUAUUUGUUGACUUUUAUUUUUUGUUGGACACAACUGAAUAUACUACUACUAUUUACUAUCAUUAACAGAAUUUAAAACUGAUUUUUAAAAGGCACUAGAAGAAAAGAAGUCCAUUUCACAAACUAAAUGCAAUUGUUUCUUUGGUGAAUUAAAUUAUAUCUCUUCUACCCUUAAUCUUCUCUCUGUAGUUGUUGAGUAAUGCUUCCAACUAUGUUGGGGAUGGUGACUGAGAUUGAUGUUAGCUUCUAAUAUGCAUGGUGAAUAACAUCUACAAAUAUAUUAUGCCUUAUUUGUUGACAUUUGAAGCCCUUGGCUAUAUAUCAGGUUUCCCUUAUCUAUAGACCUAUUUACCUCCAAAUUAAUUUUUGGAGAAACAGUGAAUGAUUUGAUAUUUUAAAAUCAUCAUUUUAAAGUUUAAGGAUAAUUUCUAUAUCUUUUUUUUCUCCCUAGAAGAAUAUCAUUAGAUAUUAGCUCACUCCAUGUGAUUUCAUGGGAAGUAUAUGAAAACAGGUCAAGAUGAACUCAACUUUUAUUGCUCUUAGUCUACUUAUAUUCAAUCAAAGCAUGAGUUAAAGUGAACUUCAGUCAUAACUUUUAAUCUAUGUAAAUAUUUUGCCAAUGAUGGUCUUUUGUAAAAAGUUAGUAAUGUUAAUGAUAAUAAUAAUUGAUUUUUGUUUUGGCUGUUUACAAUUUUCAUGGAAAUGUUUAUGUAUAUAUCUAAGAGAAUUGUACUUAUCAACUUAUCUUCCUCCUUGCCUGACAUUUUCAUACUACUGUGAUUUUGAGUCUAUAUGUGAAGAAGUUAUGGAUUAAAACAUGUUCUCAUGAGAAUUUUACAAUCAUAAUUCUGCACUUUUAACUUCUCUGGAAAUUCCCAUUUUGUAACAAUAAAACAUACCUUCAAAGCACACGUUUCUUACUGCAGAUAAAAUAGUAACAUUUCUUAGAUGUCCAUCUCUAUUAGAGCCAGUUCUUUGUGAUGAAGUGAGAUUUCCUUCACAGCUAAAACUCACUUUUGUGGAAAAGCUUGAAUUAUUGGUUUUAACGUUUGAAUCUUAUACAUAUGGUUGUUCUGUGCAUAUUAUUAUUUCAAUUGUGAAGAUGAUUCCCAACCUAAAAAAUAAAUGUUUA